CGGGGGCAACCCUGGUGGCGAGUGGCGAACGGGUGAGUAAUGCAUCGGAACGUGCCCAUCGGAUGGGGGAUAACUGCGCGAAAGCGUUGCUAAUACCGCAUACGACCUACGGGUGAAAGCAGGGGACCGCAAGGCCUUGCGUCGAUGGAGCGGCCGAUGCCGGAUUAGCUAGUUGGUGAGGUAAAGGCUCACCAAGGCGACGAUCCGUAGCUGGUCUGAGAGGACGACCCAGCCACACUGGGACUGAGACACGGCCCAGACUCCUACGGGAGGCAGCAGUGGGGAAUCUUGGACAAUGGGCGAAAGCCUGAUCCAGCAAUGCCGCGUGUGGGAAGAAGGCCUUCGGGUUGUAAACCACUUUUUGGCGGGAAAGAAAUGGUCUGUGCUAAUACCACGGAUUGAUGACGGUACCCGCAGAAUAAGCACCGGCUAACUACGUG
rnacentral:rRNA from 1 species